rfam:Drosophila willistoni strain TSC#14030-0811.24 scf2_1100000013841 genomic scaffold, whole genome shotgun sequence.
AAAUCGGUCCUUUUCAGGACCACAAACUAGUCAUGUCGAUAUUGAG